CAGAGAGAGUGCACUUGGCCAUGGUCCCUUCAUGGAGGGAACUCAACUCAUCUUCCCCAGGUGAAACUGCAUAGGGCUAUUCUCACAAUUAUUAUUUAGUGUAGAAGAAGUCUCCUACCAUAGUUUGGGAACUAUGUGCACUCCCAAUAUUUGAUCAUGUGUUAAAUAAAAGCAAGGUUAGAGGUGGGGAAUUUGCUCGUCUGCCAAGCCUCAACUAGCACUCCCUACCUAGACUCCAUCCCCCAGCUUUGGAACGAGGGGUUGGAGCCUUAGAAGCAGAAGAAACUGGGCUGGAGGAGGACAGGGAGACUCGCCUGGACCAUUUUUGCCUUUUGGAUUUCAAAUCAUCAUAUAUCUCAAAGGAUUUAGCUAACAAGCCCUCAAAGCAUGACCCCCAGGCAGCUCGAACCCGUGGCUCCUGGAUUGUCAGCAGGUGGGUCCCGCUCACUGUGAGACUGGUACUUCCACUGUAAGAACAAGGGGAGAAAGGAAAAAUGGAUUCAAUCCACAAAAAGCUGUGGUACGAAAUGUAGGGGAAAGAGUUUUCUGGAGAAGGGACAUCUAUGGCUUGGUAACAUCCCAGGUCUGCUGGUUCCCAUUCUCAUUAAUGGAACCUACCAGGGGUGUUCCCCUGGCAAUGAAUCCAGGGAUACAUUUGGACAUGGAAGGCAAACUAAACGAACCUACAUGCAGUCCUAUGCAAAUGAAUAUAGGAAGAUGAAAACUGAAGAUUUCUUUUUGCAUGGUUCAGUUUCCCCAAUCUUCUUAAUGUCUUUUGUUGUGCCCAGAGGGGUAGUUUGGACUCAGAAGACCUUGUAUUGUGUGUGUAUUAUGCUUAAGUCACUAAGUGUCAAUAAUGUGCCUAUCCUUUACAAUUUUUCACUGAAAGUCUUGUCCAACUGAUCUCUAAUAGAACAGGGUGGAUUUGAAAUAUUUAACCCAAAAGUCUAGAUAUUAUGCCCUUCAGAUUCUUGUGGUAUACUGUAUAUGCCUAUGGUACAGAAUCUUCUUUAAAAAAAUAAUACUCUUGUGUCUUUCAAAUAAUUUGGAGAUACUGUUCUUUAAAUAAUCCAAAACACACAUGCUGCUGAUCUAGAAGAUGGAGAUAGAUUGCAUCAUUCCCACCACACCAUCCCAAAAAGCUGGAGGAAACAGAAGAGUCCAAGGCCAUGGUAAGAAACUAGUUUCUAUAGGAUGGAGAGCAGCUCUUAAUUUUCCUCUUGGGGCUAGAGGAAAGAAAAGAAGUAUCAGGAUCUUUGCUACUAGACAGCAGUGGGCAGCAGACUCACCAAUGGGCGGGGCAGUCACCAUGACACUGUUCUCCCAGUUGCCCCACAUGUGCCAGUUUGGAUCCUGAAGGCCAUCUAAUGGGAAUGGCAGAUGCUCAGCAAGGAAGCAUUGCUAAGGUUAUCCUAGCAACCCAACACUGUCACAGGCUCAUCACUUACUUGGCAAUACUCCAGGCAGGUUCUAUGGUUGUGAUGACUGGGUC